rnacentral:lncRNA from 12 species
CAAAGCCUAGGAGGGUUCCUCCCAACAGGGAUCCUCAGCCUCACGUCUCCUAACAUCCUUGGCUGCUUUUACAGACGCUGUUUGGAAGCGGGUCGGGCCCCCUGGACUCAGCUUUGGGAGCGCGGUACCGGGCACUGCGGAGGCCUCCGGGUUCCACGCUGGGCGACAUUUCAUUUCAGGGUGAAGGGACACAGGAUGCUCUCCUUUCUCACCUGGCCCUUAGGGUACCACAGACCUUUGGACACCUUUAGGCACCAACGUACGAUCAAUGGACCCUUCUCAUUGGAAAUAAGCCCUGCCAAGUUAAACAGCAACAGUUGUGAGAUUUAUCGGCAGAACACGUGGCUAAUGACCUUUAAGACAACUUGUCUCAUAUGUCAACUAGAAAAGAAAAACACUAUAGUUAGACUGUUUUAAGCUACAUAAUGAAAAGUCCACUGGUCUAAACCAACGUCUUUGAGGAAGCUUCUAGGAGACAUAUUUCUGUAACGUUUGGAUUUUAUAUAAUGGACAUAUAUAACUCGUGCUCAGAAAGGAAAAAAAAGAAAGGAUG